ACCGACAAGUCACCUGCCGAUUCCAGUUGCGAGUCGGAUUUCUCAACACCUGUAUCAUCCCCACAAAAGCACUUCAAUGGAGUCAAGGAGAACGGAAUAGCAAGUGGCAGUGGACUGACAUCGAAAUCACGGCUGGACAGUGUUAAAAAAAAUGGACCCAGCACUCCAUAUUCGAGCAUUGCUGAAGAGAUCUUGUCAAGGCGCUCCAUCAACAGACUCAGGUCUACUAAUUU
rnacentral:lncRNA from 1 species